CCCCGGUGAAUAUGUUCCUGAGCCUUGUACACACCGCCCGUCAAGCCACGAAAGCUGGGGGUACCCGAAGUCGCCACAAGCGCCCACGGUAAACCAGUGAUUGGGACU
rnacentral:rRNA from 1 species